rnacentral:lncRNA from 1 species
GAAAAUAUCAGCAAACCCACAAUAAGAAUGUAAACCUCAGAAUAUACAUGCAGAGCAUGACCAGGACUGAGAAGAUUACUCUAUGUGCAUGCCACCCCGAUCAGAAGAUGGUAAUGUGCUUCCUUGAAGAGCAUUCAGCACUUCAGUUGCUUGGUCAAUUCCCUAAAAGGUAAAAUAUAUAAAUACAUAAUUGUAGAGGCGAAUUCAGAAUUCCAAGAAAAUGAGUACUCUAUUACAAAGAGGUGAAUCUGAAAUUUAUAUUUGACGGAUCCAACCGUUAGGUUCUUACCAUAAUUCCAAUACCAUUUAGAAUUUAUAUGAUAAAAUUAACUUUUUUCUUGCAAUUUUAGUGGGUUUUAACGUAUAUACUUAAUACUCCAGACCAAAAAUGUUGGAAUCAUUAAACCAUGCUGCAUCAUCCUCUGUUAUUAGUUUUAAUUAUAUUAAAUUUUGAGAUGAUAAAGGGAGAUCAAGGAUAUCAAUGUGUUGGAUUUUGGGAUUUUGAAGGGAUAAACCAAAUAAAACAAGAAAGAAAGAAAAAAAAUACUAAAUUAAAACACAAGAGGGGACACUAGACAUGCUUAGGUUCCUACCAAUUAAGAUCUGAACCUCUAACUUUACUUGUAAAGGAGCACCCGACAAUCAUAAAACUCUUUGAGCUUGGGUGCACACAUGUACAUUUAAGAAAUUUUUAAGAAACAUUAUACAUAGUAUAGAGAGAAGAGCAUGGGUCCAUGUGCCCCAUGCUUCAACACAUUGAUAUGCCCUCCAUAAUGUUGGGAACAUGGUUAUGGUAAAAACCCUUUGCGGUUAGUAACGUAUGUAGAGGGAACUCUGAUUUUUUUCCCAAAUUACUGCGGUAAAGAUUUAGAAUGAUUGAAAAUUCCAAAUACAUGAGCAUGUCUCUGAGAAAUUCGAAAUGCGACAGCUGAAAAUAAGCUUCUUAUUUAGGUAAAUUAGUUUCACUUUUAAGUCUCUGACCUGAGAGAAAUUUACAGUUUUGCUGUAGCCACACUAAGAAGCUGCGAGGAGUACCUGAAAAUCAGCAAAAGCAACAGGCAUCCCGCCUCUUGCACGCACCUUGAGGGUGUUAAAUCCAGGAUACCUGACAGGAAAGCAACAUGUACUGUCAAUUAUAGGUAGCCUUCCGCAAGUUACUUCAAGAGAUGGUACGUAUGAGAGAGAAAUAUGUCUCAAGUAUAAUAUUGCCAUUCUGCAGCUAGGUACAGAGAACCAACUUUUUAGCCAUAUGAACACUGAGUUGUGAAGAAAGAACUGAAAGAGAACACCCUCCAUUGCAGGAGUUAUACAGGAACUUACUUAGAAAUAACUUGCUUCAGUUCAUCCUCAGUGCAAUUUGGACCAAGAUUGGCG